rnacentral:lncRNA from 7 species
AGCUCAGACCUUCAGAAAUCAAGUAAGAUCCCCACAAAUCCUGGCUGUCUGUCAAGAAAACACUUUGAAAUUACUGGAUUGCCAGAAAGGAAGAAACCAGGCUCUCCUCUACUGCUUGAUUCUACGCUUGCUUCUGUCCCCAUCCAACUAUCCACUCCUUUGCAUUCUGACUCCUGCCUCAGUUCUUCCUCUCCAGGCACAUUAUUGCUGUACUUCAUGUCAGAUGCCAUUCUGUCAGAGUGCCCCACUGCUGUGAUCUGUCAUAUGGCUACAGAUGUAAUGGAAUAUUGGUAGGAAGGUUCAAGCUCUACUGCCGUACCACCAAUGUCCACCUCUGAUACUGUGGGCUAACAGAAUAAAAUUGGAGGCAUUACAUUUGGAGCAGCCAUUGAGAUUCAAAAACUUUGUGAAAUUUUGAAAGAUCCUUGUUAAUGGAUUGAUUAAAGUGCUUAUGUCCUUCAUCUGCUGUAGAAGAGCCAAGGUGUCCAACCUGAGCUGAACAGUUGACUCUCAAGUCAUCUAAAGGUUAGUGAAAUAAAUGGCUCCUCAGAUACUUGUGAUCUUGUGACUAUUCAGACUGCUGAUUCCAAAGCUGGUCUAUGUGAUGCUAAAGAAUUUGAGCUAGUAAGAGAUUUGUUUAAAAGUUUGGGUUCCCUCUUCUUGCAAGCGUUCAGUCCAGUGAAGAUGAACUGGAGCAAGGAGUGUAGUUAAAGCACGUAUAGGUGAACAACCCACGCAGCUGGUCUCCUGGACUAGUUAUUUAAGAACCUGUCUCAUAGAGAUGUUAUUUAUGAUAGGUAGCAAUGCACAGGCAACUUUAUUGAAAUGCAGAUUUUGAUUAUUUUUCUCCCUUGAUUUUGCCUCUGCUAAGCAUUUUUUCUCUUCUGAGUAUUUAUUUUUGACAAAGAUAAAAUCACCUAAUUGAUAUAACUGUUUCAAAUAUUGUGGUGGAUGAAUUUUUCAAGGAGUCUGACUUAUGUACAGUAUUUAACAGAUUUCAUUUUUCUUCAAGGCUCUUAAAUAAGAGGGAAAAGUGAUAAUUUCAAGCAGGCAAAUUGAGCAGAAAUCAUGACACUUGCUUAAAAACAAACAAACAAACAAACAAAAAAAAAACUGUGAAAUCACCGCUACAUCUAAGUAUUAACUUGUAGGACAGUUCUUAUUAAAAAAAAAGAACAAAAAACUAAAACAUUUUCACAGAUUUUCUAUUUCUUAAUGAUUAAUUCAUUUCACAUUACAAUGUAUUUUUAUUUUAUGUAAGUAGUGCCAAAGAUGUGGGAAAUGUUCCUCAAUUUAGUACCUUUCUAAGAAAUUGAUUUGAUUGUGUCUAUGCAUUUAAAUUUUCUUAAAGGGAAUGGUAACAAUGUUUAGGAGUCUGAAGUUGGUUCUGGAAUAAUUUUCAAACACUUAAAAAUGUCUUAUUAUCAUGUCUCUAAUUGCGCUACUUCAUUUCUUGGAUAAAACGUCAAGUAAGGUUUUUUUAUAUGUACUUCAUGCAUAUACUGCUGUAAAUCUUUUAGUUUGUGUUUAUUUGAUGGUCUAGCCAUUGAAUGAAGAAAAUAGGCUUGGAUUCUGUUUUAUUUCACUUUUUAAAAAAAUUUAAUAUAUAUAACAUUAUCACACCAAUUGCAAAGGAAUAAAUCUGGUUUAUAGAUUUCAAAAG